AGAUUUGGAGGGAGAGAGGGAGAGAGAGAAAGUGUGAUUCGGAGGGAGAGAAAGUGGGAAGCAUACUCAGCAAGAGUGAGGAAUCAGAAACAGGUUGUUGUUCCAGCAGAACACUGCUUUGUCCCUGCUUCAAAAGAGCGAGUGGAACAUCCAGGACUGGAGCUAGUGAGAGCAUAGUUUUACAAAUAUCAUCUGGUCUCUGUCUCAGCUAGGAAGGGAGGCACAGACAGAGAAAGAAGAAGAAGAGAGAGAGAGAGUAGCCUGGUCCCUUAGAGAUAGACACAACAGUAAUUAACACACACACACACACACACACACACACACACACACACACACACACACACACACACACACACACACACACACACACACACACACACACACACACACACACACACACACACACACACACACACACACACACAGGAGUAUGAUGGCACUGCAGUAAGCAGCUUGAUAGAGUAGAAUAUAAAUUGGAUGGGAUAGAAUAGAAUAUAUAUGUAUUUUCUAAAUGUAUUUUUACAAAGCCCUCUUUACAUCAGCAGUUGUCUGUUACCCAACCUAGAAUGUAAACCAAUGUCAUGUGGAUUAGACUGCUGUCCCCUAUGCACUGUUCCCUGUUAUGUUGUGUUGUCCUCCCACUACAUGGACACAGGGGAGUCUCAGACCCAGUCUCAGUCUCAGCUGCUAGUACUGAACAGCAACAGGAAGUGGAAGGUGGGUGGCUGCUACAACAGGGACCGGGUCGCUACAACAGGGACCGGGUAGGAGGUAGGAGGUAGGAGGUAGGAGACAGAGUAGAAAGGGAGGGAUACAACAGGGACCAGGUAGGAGGUAGGAGGUAGGAGGUAGGAGACAGAGUAGAAAGAGAGGGAUACAACAGGGACCAGGUAGGAGGUAGGAGGUAGGAGACAGAGUAGAAAGAGAGGGAUACAACAGGGACCAGGUAGGAGGUAGGAGGUAGGAGACAGAGUAGAAAGAGAGGGAUACAACAGGGACCAGGUAGGAGGUAGGAGGUAGGAGGUAGGAGACAGAGUAGAAAGAGAGGGAUACAACAGGGACCAGGUAGGAGGUAGGA